GGAGUUUUUACCUCUUCAGACUUUUUCCCUUCUCCAUGCACCUUGGAGAUCUGCUGAGAUCUACUAACCCACAAAGACGAGCUCAGCAGGGAUGACUGCUGGUGCGUUCAAGUGAUUCUCGUACUGUGCGCAGUUCACAAGGGACCAUGGAGUAUGUCAUGAGCAUCAGCAUAUCCUUCUUGUCUUGACUUUGGGUCGGUUCGUC